UGGAUAACCUGCCCCGUACAGGGGGAUAACAGCGGGAAACGGCUGCUAAUACCCCAUAAACCCUGAGGUACGCAUGUACCAUAGGGAAAAGUUCCGGCGGUACGGGAUGGAUCCGCGUCUGAUUAGCUAGUUGGUGAGGUAAAGGCCCACCAAGGCGACGAUCAGUAGCCGGCCUGAGAGGGCGGACGGCCACAUUGGGACUGAGACACGGCCCAGACUCCUGCGGGAGGCAGCAGUGGGGAAUAUUGCACAAUGGGGGAAACCCUGAUGCAGCGACGCCGCGUGGGUGAAGAAGUAUUUCGGUAUGUAAAGCCCUAUCAGCAGGGAAGAAAGAGGACGGUACCUGACUAAGAAGCCCCGGCUAACUACGUGCCAGCAGCCGCGGUAAUACGUAGGGGGCAAGCGUUAUCCGGAUUUACUGGGUGUAAAGGGAGCGUAGACGGCAGAUCAAGUCUGGAGUGAAAUCCCGGGGCUCAACCCCGGAGCUGCUCUGGAAACUGAGAAGCUAGAGUACUGGAGAGGCAGGCGGAAUUCCUAGUGUAGCGGUGAAAUGCGUAGAUAUUAGGAGGAACACCAGUGGCGAAGGCGGCCUGCUGGACAGCGACUGACGUUGAGGCUCGAAAGCGUGGGAGCAACAGGAUUAGAUACCCUGGUAGUCACGCUGUAAACGAUGAAUACUAGUGU
rnacentral:rRNA from 1 species